AUGAUGGACAAAUACACGAUUCACAUCUACGCUCUAGGCUUGCUACUAUCUCUCCAUCUCCUAUGCUGCACGCCUACUGUGCAAUGUCGGAUCAUGGGCGAAGAAGACGUGGAUGAGAAGAUCAAUUUACCGUAUGGGCUUUGUGUCAACAAUAGACCAUGCAAAGCUGGAUGGGUCUGGUUGUGUUGUCUCCUCAAUCAAGAGUGCUAUCCGUCCAUGGAUGCGUGCAAGAAAGAUUGUCUGAAACCCUCUGCUGCUGACAUGGUGUCCAUGAAAAUGACCCGCUCUCCUUUACCCGCCUCCUCUCCCACGUCAUCAUUAGGUUCAAUUUGA
rnacentral:rRNA from 1 species